AUACAUCUAACUGUUUUUUGAACAGUCUGAACUUGGUAUGUUGGGAGCUAACAUCAAAGAACUAUUUUCCCCCAUUCACAUGAGGACUGUGUCAAAUCUGCCUCCUAUCACUUAAGGAGGUUUUGGGAAAAUCAUUCACUUUCGUUUCUAUCACUUCCAGUAACUUAACAGUACGGCUCAGAUGUAAAACUCCCCUUUUACUUGUUCCUGUCACUUCAGCCCAAGCUUGUCUCAUGAUCUAAAAAUCUGUAAUAGGGAAGAGGGUGUGGUCUGAUCUUUCCCCUUCUAUUUUACCUCAUCUAGUUCCAGAUUCUCAAAUCAUAUAGGGCCAGGAGGAGAGGACCAAAUUAUGUCUUAGUUACCUGGCUGCUGGUGGUUGUCUCUGUUUUUUGUAGAGCACAGGUGUAACGGCUUUCAGGGUGGGGGUGGGGAACUCUCCACUGAGUAGUGUGCUGAUGUGGGAGAUCUCUGGCUUGGCCUCUUCCGGCCCUCCUCCCACUCAGCUCCCACCAAUGAUGUAUCAAUAAAACCUCUUGCUGCUGGAGAUCUGCUUACCUGGUGGCCAGGGUGGCAAGACAAGUGAAGCCUGACUAUGCCUGCAGCAUCCACUGUGGAAACUACUACAUCUUUGCCAUGCCAAACACUUCUGCUUAAGCAUGCAGGUGAGAAGGGAAGAUACAUGUAAUCUGCAUGUCUGCCACCAUUCCUUGUUACCCUUUUUCAUAUCCCAUGAGCACAGCACUCCAGCGGACCUACCCAAAAUAUGUGGGAGUUCAGUGAAACUCAAACAGCAUGCUUCUGGUCAGCCUAUACAGUCUCUGUCCUGGUGAGGAGCAUGAUCACCAACAGGCAAGAUCUUCUGGCCUUGAAGUUUCGCUUGAGUUAAAAGAGCUCAUCUCAGGACUUUCUGAAUUUUCAGCCCAUAUGACAUGGAAGAAGAGUUAGAAGGGGAAUCUGACUGCUUGGAUCAGGGACUGUCUGGCUGGUGGAACUUGAAUGUAUACAACACUCUUCAUUUGCAUGUUUUGACAUUUUAAAAAAUGUUUUCACUUUCCUUAUCUACUUUGACUCUAAUAACAUCCUGAAAGGUAAGUAGAAUUAUUCUCAUAAUAUGAUGAAGAACCC
rnacentral:lncRNA from 1 species